rnacentral:tRNA from 1 species
GCGAGGGUGGCGGAACUGGUAGACGCGCUGGAUUUAGGUUCCAGUACCUUUCGGUGUGGGGGUUCGACUCCCCCCCCUCGUACCA